rnacentral:rRNA from 1 species
ACUCCUACGGGAGGCAGCAGUGGGGAAUAUUGCACAAUGGGCGCAAGCCUGAUGCAGCCAUGCCCGUGUGAUGAAGAAGGCCCUUCGGGUUGUAAAGUACUUUCAGCAGUGAGGAAGGUGGAGUCGUUAAUAGCGGCCUCAUUUGACGUUAGCUGCAGAAGAAGCACCGGCUAACUCCGUGCCAGCAGCCGCGGUAAUACGGAGGGUGCGAGCGUUAAUCGGAAUUACUGGGCGUAAAGCGCAAUGCAGGUGGUUUGUUAAGUCAGAUGUGAAAGCCCGGGGCUCAACCUCGGAAUAGCAUU